rnacentral:lncRNA from 1 species
GGCCAUUCCGAAGGGCCAGGACUGCCCGAGGGUGAAUAGUUGAUGCUGAAAAAUAGCCACAAAAGUAGUCAAGUUGGCACUUGGGUAGGAGAGGUUUGAAAACAUAAAGAAUCAUCAAAGAAGGAUGCCACGGUGCCCAGCCCGAAGUGCUCUCAUGCCAGGGCCCGGGGACCUGUUCCCCAGGGAACCUUACCCGGUCAUGUCCCCAGCAGUGGGAGGGGGAGGUGGGGCAGGAGGAUGCGGGCUCUUGCACCCUGCCUGGCAGAGGGCAGCGUGGGCUCCGGGGUGGGUGAGGAACCUGGGCUGAGUGUCUUUCCCACUCACGCCCCUUCUGUGCACACCCUCCUUCCGCCCGGCCAGUGGGCAGCCUCAGGCUCGGCCAGAAUUUCUCCAGGUGGAUUUCUGGCACCCCAACCACCUGGAAUACGAGCCACGGCAGCUCCCAGACCCUCCCCGACAGCCCCUCCUCAGGCUGGAAGCCCCCCUCCCCUCCAGCUGGGUGGCCAUGACCUUCCGAGCUCCCGGACCAGAGUCCUCCUCAGAGCCCUGUAACGCCUUACAGGCAAGACGCAGGUUGCCUGCAAGCGGAGGUCAGCUUGCCAUUUGCCUCAGAAGUGUUUGGAGGGACUGGGGGCUACGUUUCAGCUCACUCCCCAAUGGUCCCUCCAUAGCCAUCUAUAGAGCCCCAGUGGGGCCCCCAGGAGACAGGAGGGAGCAGCUGGGACCUCGUCUCCCCUCCAGGAGGUUUGGUUCUGGGGUGGGACUCCUUAAUGGAGACCCAAGAAGUCGCCAUGGUUAUAAUCAGCUAGACGCUGACUCGUCAGUGGGGACCGUGAGCCAGUGCCUGGCCUCGGGGUCAUCAGAUAAAGACGAUGGAUGUGGGAUGAGAAGUGGCUGGUGUGGCCAGUGUCCUGGAGGAGGCAGGCAGGCUGGAGUCUUCGAAGGACAUUCCACGUGGUGAGUGAUGUGGGUCCAGGUCCGUGGGCAGGGCCGGGACCGGCACUUGACCCCAGGCCUUUCAGAGCCCCGCUGAGCUCUCUCCACCAGGCCCAAGCAUCGAGAGGGGGGGAGGAGGGCUAGCACCCCUCUGCUGCCUGGGAACUGCCCAGGGCGGGCUGGGAUGACUGCGGACUGGGUUCCUGGACCAGCCCCGCGGCCAGAAGCUCCCAGGGACCCGGCAGGUGUCUUAGCUGCAGGGCCAACAUUUGGAUCGGGUCGGGAGCCUUCUGUUCUUAUUUCCCAGUUGAGGUGCGGCCUUCCUGGAGCCCUGGCACCUCUGCCUGCGUUUGCAGCCCUUGGGCAUGUUUACUGCACAGGCGCCUCUCUGAGAUGUCUCUGAAUUUCCCCGAGUCCCAAGCUGGAGGCCAAAAAUCCAGCAGGAAGCAAAUCACCAUUUUCACACCUCCAGGAAAGGCUGGUUACAGGCUGAGCGCCCUCCUGGGGUUCACAGCUGAGCUGGCCUUUCACCCCACGUCCCUUGGUGGGGAGCAGUCCACGAAACAGUCCUGGCCUGACCUCCGGUUGAAUCCGGGGGCCCAGUGCUGUUCGACUUCUUGGCAGUUUUGAGCUUGAAGAGGCUGUUGGCGUCUCUCCUGUGUCACAAGGCCUUGGGGACUGGGGGCCGCCCUGGCCAGGCUGGGCCACCCAGUCUUCAAACAGCACCUUCCAAGUCCCGCUGGACACUGCCUGGGGCUGCCUGAGGUGCUGGUGGCUCUUCCAGGCCCUUCCUCUGGGGGGAAAACGGACCCCACUGUCUGGAGGGGAGAGUCUGGGGCUGGCGAUAGUGUGGCUGAUAGUGUCCACGUGGCCACCGUGGACAGGGGCCUAGGGGGACCUGGAGGGGGGCCCGAGGGUGCUGCAGGAGUCAUCUGUGGCUGCCGUAACCAUCAGCACAAAUGUGGCCUCUUGGAACGACCCCUGCACCGCCUUACAGACCUGGAGGUCAGGAGUCUUCAACGGCU